CGACCCGCUCGGCCACGGCCGCGAGCCGGGCGCGGGUGAUGUCGGCGACGGUCGCCAGGCCGGCGAGCCGCGCGUUCGAGCCCUCCCGGGUCGGC
rnacentral:tRNA from 1 species